UAAAUAGCCUGUGGGAUUCCUCAUCAAGU
rnacentral:piRNA from 1 species